UACAGAGGGGGCAAGCGUUAUUCGGAAUUAUUGGGCGUAAAGGGCGCGUAGGCGGCUUUUCAAGUGACGGGUGAAAUCCCUCGGCUUAACCGAGGAACUGCCUGUCAGACUGGAAGGCUUGAGACCGGGAGAGGUGAGUGGAAUUCCCAGUGUAGCGGUGAAAUGCGUAGAUAUUGGGAGGAACACCAGUGGCGAAGGCGGCUCACAGGACCGGAACUGACGCUGAGGCGCGAAAGCGUGGGGAGCAAACAGG
rnacentral:rRNA from 1 species